ensembl:rRNA 5S_rRNA 5S ribosomal RNA
AUGAGCAGCCAUAUCACCAUAUCACCCUGCAACUCACAACUGGCAACCCACUGAAGCUAAGCAGGUGUGAGCCUGGUCAGUACCUGGUUGAGAGACCUCCUGGGAAAACUAAGGUUGCUGCUGGAA